rnacentral:rRNA from 1 species
UACGUAGGUGGCAAGCGUUGUCCGGAAUUAUUGGGCGUAAAGCGCGCGCAGGCGGUCCUUUAAGUCUGAUGUGAAAGCCCACGGCUCAACCGUGGAGGGUCAUUGGAAACUGGGGGACUUGAGUACAGAAGAGAAGAGUGGAAUUUCACGUGUAGCGGUGAAAUGCGUAGAGAUGUGGAGGAACACCAGUGGCGAAGGCGACUCUUUGGUCUGUAACUGACGCUGAGGCGCGAAAGCGUGGGGAGCAAACAGG